CACGUAGGGGGCAAGCGUUGUCCGGAUUUAUUGGGCGUAAAGAGCUCGUAGGCGGCUUAGUAAGUCGGGUGUGAAACCUCCAGGCUCAACCUGGAGACGCCACCCGAUACUGCUGUGGCUAGAGUCCGGUAGGGGAGCGUGGAAUUCCUGGUGUAGCGGUGAAAUGCGCAGAUAUCAGGAGGAACACCUGUGGUGUAGACAGCUUACUGGACCAUUUCUGACGCUGAGACACGAAAGCGUGGGUAGCAAACAGG
rnacentral:rRNA from 1 species